UGCAGUCGACGGUAACAGAACUAGCUUGCUAGUUGCUGACGAGUGGCGGACGGGUGAGUAAUACUUAGGGAUCUGCCUCUGUGUGGGGGAUAACUAUUGGAAACGAUAGCUAAUACCGCAUAACGUCUACGGACCAAAGAGGGCUUCGGCUCUCGCGCAGAGAGGAACCUAAGCGAGAUUAGCUUGUUGGUGAGGUAAAGGCUCACCAAGGCGACGAUCUCUAGCUGUUCUGAGAGGAAGAUCAGCCACACUGGAACUGAGACACGGUCCAGACUCCUACGGGAGGCAGCAGUGGGGAAUAUUGCACAAUGGGGGCAACCCUGAUGCAGCCAUGCCGCGUGUGUGAAGAAGGCCUUCGGGUUGUAAAGCACUUUCAGUUGUGAGGAAAGGUUAGUAGUUAAUACCUGCUAGCUGUGACGUUAACAACAGAAGAAGCACCGGCUAACUCCGUGCCAGCAGCCGCGGUAAUACGGAGGGUGCGAGCGUUAAUCGGAAUUACUGGGCGUAAAGCGCACGCAGGCGGUCUGUUAAGCUAGAUGUGAAAGCCCCGCGCUCAACGUGGGAGGGUCAUU
rnacentral:rRNA from 1 species